AUUGAACGCUGGCGGAAUGCUUUACACAUGCAAGUCGAACGGCAGCACGGGGGCAACCCUGGUGGCGAGUGGCGAACGGGUGAGUAAUACAUCGGAACGUGCCCAGUCGUGGGGGAUAACGUAGCGAAAGCUACGCUAAUACCGCAUACGAUCUAAGGAUGAAAGCGGGGGACCGUAAGGCCUCGCGCGAUUGGAGCGGCCGAUGGCAGAUUAGGUAGUUGGUGGGGUAAAGGCUCACCAAGCCUGCGAUCUGUAGCUGGUCUGAGAGGACGACCAGCCACACUGGGACUGAGACACGGCCCAGACUCCUACGGGAGGCAGCAGUGGGGAAUUUUGGACAAUGGGCGCAAGCCUGAUCCAGCCAUUCCGCGUGCAGGAUGAAGGCCUUCGGGUUGUAAACUGCUUUUGUACGGAACGAAAAGGUGCCUCCUAAUACGGGGUGCUCAUGACGGUACCGUAAGAAUAAGCACCGGCUAACUACGUGCCAGCCGCCGCCGUAA
rnacentral:rRNA from 1 species